rnacentral:rRNA from 1 species
CCUACGGGAGGCAGCAGUGGGGAAUUUUGGACAAUGGGCGCAAGCCUGAUCCAGCAAUGCCGCGUGAGUGAAGAAGGCCUUCGGGUUGUAAAGCUCUUUUGUCAGGGAAGAAACGGCUGAGGUUAAUACCUUUGGCUAAUGACGGUACCUGAAGAAUAAGCACCGGCUAACUACGUGCCAGCAGCCGCGGUAAUACGUAGGGUGCAAGCGUUAAUCGGAAUUACUGGGCGUAAAGCGUGCGCAGGCGGUUUUGUAAGUCUGACGUGAAAUCCCCGGGCUCAACCUGGGAAUUGCGUUGGAGACUGCAAGGCUGGAGUCUGGCAGAGGGGGGUAGAAUUCCACGUGUGGCAGUGAAAUGCGUAGAGAUGUGGAGGAACACCGAUGGCGAAGGCAGCCCCCUGGGUCAAGACUGACGCUCAUGCACGAAAGCGUGGGGAGCAAACAGGAUUAGAUACCCUGGUAGUCCACGCCCUAAACGAUGUCUACUAGUUGUCGGGUCUUAAUUGACUUGGUAACGCAGCUAACGCGUGAAGUAGACCGCCUGGGGGUACGUGCAGNUAAACUAAGAUUGACG